UGCCGAGCGGGGAGAGCCGAGCCCUGCCCGGGGUCAGCGGGGCGGCUCGCCCGGCUCUGGCAGCAGCAGUGCCGCCCCCGGCAGCCAGCGCCUUGCCCGCAUCCUUCCUGCGAGCUGGAGACGGAGACCGGCGAGUGCUGGAGAGCCCCGGCUGCAGCCGGGCGAAGGGCUGCAACAGGGGCAGAGGAGGAUGGUGAGACACUCCUUUCUACAGCUGUACAGCACAGAAACAUUUCUGCAAUGAAGCAAAGGGAGUGUUACACGUAGGAAGCACUGAGCACUUCUGGGCAGGCAAGUGAAGAAGAACGUUUUCACUGUGUACCCAGGCAGAGAUAAGCUCCACAAGAGCUUAUGUUCUUUUUUACUGUAGAAGAGACUGGAGCAACAGGAUGGGAGAGGUGCCCAGGGACAGCUGCCAGGUCUGUGAGUUCAGAAGCCCGUGGACCUACUGCUCUGGGAAUGUCUGCAAUAUCCAUGGAGAGGUCUGCUACCUUAUCACCCAGGAGUAGGAGGCAGUGAACUGGAGGAUCUAUUGCAAAGCAUAUCCAGAAAUGGAAGACUUUUAUUCUUUCCUACUCAUGAGAAAGAUCUGUCAAGUCAGUGAGUGGUUUGAUUGAAUGAGAGCAGUGAAACUAGUCCAUGGUGGAAGAUUUUUUAAAAGACAGGUGUCAUCGUGUCUUUUUCGACGUCAAUCCAUUGUGAAUCAUGCAGACACACCAGUGAAAGAACAGAACCUGCUGCAGCCUGUGAGCAACAAGAAAUUUCAGCUGGAUGACUGCAUAAGGGCUUUGCAAGACCGCCAGUAAUUUUUUUAUAUUCAGAGUUAAAUAGAGCAAUAAGAUGGAAUUUCAGCUUUAGUGCAAUGGAUUGCAGCUCUUCAGUCAAUCAAAUUAUAGUUCAAUCAGUUCAUUUUAAUCACUUCUCUGGAGAGAAGUAAACCCCUAUGUUGAAGAAUAUGCAGCAAUUUUAUUGAUGGAAAGUUUAAUUGUUUCAUUUUUCCUUACCGUCUGUAACAUACUAGACUUUUAAUCAGUGGGAACUGAAGUUAUAAUGAAGUAAAGUCCACUUUCCACAGUUCACAACUAGCUGAAAAUAAUUGGGUUGAGACUCCCAUCCAGACAGUGUAAUGCCUCUGGCAUUUUCCUGAAAACUACACUUAAUUGCUUUGCUGAUGUUGUUAAGUGGUCCUAAGGGGGAUGAAGUAGUAAAGCUGCUCACAUAUGCAGAGAAACAAUACACAAAAAAUGUCUUACAAGGUCCUUAAAGGAGGACCAACUAGUGACUAGAAGACAAUAUAUUGCACUUUUCCCCCCCUUUUCUAUACCAGAGAGAGCACACAGGAGAGGCUGAUAAAAUAAACUGGAAAUUCUAUAAACACUAACAGUGUUUUUAUUUAAGGACAGUAGCUUAGGAGCCAAAGUACAAAAAAUGUCAAGGCAGAGCUCUUGCAAUCAAACCUGCAUCUUUAGGCUGGCCCAAGUUGCUUGGCAUUUUUAUGCUGAACACUGGUGAGCUGCUGCCUCUCUUCAGCACCUUGGCCUGAGGAACAGAUGUACUCUUGUCCCAAGGGAGGGAGGACAGCUUGCUCUCUGUUCUCUAAAGUGACAGGAUGUGAGCCAGCGAUGAGCUGAAAGCCUUGUCCAGGCAUCAGUGGGACCAGCACAUGUACCCUGUUAGGCUUAAACAUAGCCAGAGAAGGAAUAGCUCUUUGGCAUUUCUCCUUAUUUAGUGCAUUCUUAGGAGACCCUCCAUGAUUGUAUGGUAAUUGUUUAAAAUGAUGAAAUAACUGAUAGACUCAAGGAUAUUCUGAUGAAGAAAUACAUCAGCUGUUCAAUGGAGAAAAACAUUUAUUUAGACUAGUGCCCACUGAAAUGAGUGUUGGAGCUGUUUUGUGGGGGAAGAGAACUAUAGAGCUAAUUUAGAUUUUUUUAAGUAAGUGAGGGGUUUUGUUUGGUUUUUUGUCCUUGUUUAUUUAGAUAUGUGGGCACAGUAAAGUCUCUUCUCAACCUGACCUUCCUCGGCUGCUAUUUGUGCAAACUUCAGUAUGACCUUUGCUUAUUCUGUUCUCGCUUUUACAGACUCUGAACUGAACAUCUACCCCCUGACGACUUUCUAGAAAGGAACAUAAGACAAAAUUGAGCCACGGAGUUCUAAAGCUAAAAUCUUAAAAGUUCCCUUAACCCUACACCUGACCCCAGCUGCCUUCCAGAGCCUCUAAGCUGACCUCAAAUUUGCCCAGCGUAACUUUUUCAGCACCUGAAAUUACAUGUUUUCCACUGAAACAGGCUGAAGGCUAGACAGGACUCAAGUACCUUGACAUGCAGCCCCAUGCUAGCCUGACCAUUUCCCCUAAUAUUACUAAACUUUAAUAUGUAUUCCUGCUAUGGUGAAACAAUCACCUCCCAUGUGUUGGAACUGCUGACCAUCUGCCAAGGAGCUCAGCCUCAGUGAGAACGUGCCCUGUGUCCAAUUCAGUCUGCUUGCCUGUCUCUGGGAGAGCAGCUCAGCAGUGCUCGGGCUUUGCUGUUCCUGGGCUCCUGUUUUGUCAUGAGUCAUGUGGUGUGGAAUGGUUUUAGCAAAUGCACCAAAUGAGGGCUGUGUUGUAUCAACUGAUGAGAGACAGUGUUUGGGUUUUGUUUGCUCAGAGAUGCUGAGGGCCUGGAGGAGCCAGGGCAAAUCUACAGUACAGAGGGCAAAUUACCAACCUGGUGUGGCUGGCUGAAAUUUUCCCUGUGUUGUCUGGCUGGCUUAGAGGGUAGCCUGCCCUGAGCCUUCUUUUGGGGACAGGGUUGCUGUCCCAGAAGGAGGAGUUCUUCCUGGAGCUAUAAUGCAGUCCCGUGCAGCAGCACAGCUGCCAGUUGGCCCUUCCUGACAAGCAGACCUGUUUGCUGGGGCUCACAUGCUUUAAAAUCUUAGUCUGGGUCUCAGUGGAAACAAGGAGGAGAAUGAUUUGACACACAUUCCUCUGAUUUGACAUACUGUGCGGUUACAACAUGGUGUGUCCUCCACCAGAAAUCCAAAAUACAUGUUGCUGUGCAGGCACAAAUCUGACUGUUCCUGAUAAACUGUUCAUGUGGAAAGAUACAAUUUGCAUGGUUGUCAUCAAAGCCAGUGUAUGUAUUCAUUUGUGGAAACGUCAGACACCAUGUGUCACUAAUAUGCCUUUUAUAUGUUGGUGUCUGAAUAAUUUUUUCAACUGCUGAAUGGCAUAUGUUUAAAUGCAAGCAUCUGUUCUUUGUCUGUACUGUCUGUAUUAUUUAUUCUUUAUUUCUUAUUUUCUUUUGACUAAAAGUUUGAUAUAAACCUAGAAAAAAUGUGGGAUAAAUCUUAUUUUUAAAAAGCAGAGUUUUGGUAGUAUUUCAGCAUGUGGCAAUAUGUAUCUUCUCACAGAUGAGAAAGUAAUUUAAAAGAUAAUUUUUCCCCUUCCAGUAACCAGAAAAAAAUCAGUUCCCAGGCAAAACAAAGAUUAGAUUUGACUACAAGUUUGUUAAAUGAAAAACUUAUUGUUUAGUGUUGGGCAGGUUCUGCAAUGUAUGGAUUUGCUGAAAAUAAGUCCUUGUAAGAGCCAUACGUUACGCCAUGAUGACAGUAAAUUGGUUCUAUCCAGAAACUUUUUUGAUUCAGUUAAAGAACUUGCCGUAUAAUAAAUGACUUAAUAAAGGAAUGGAAUAAUA